AUCCAGCUGACGAGUCCUAAAUAGGACGCGACUCGCAUCCUAGAU
rnacentral:hammerhead_ribozyme from 1 species